CAAUGGGCGAAAGCCUGACGGAGCAACGCCGCGUGAGGGAAGAAGGCCUUCGGGUUGUAAACCUCUGUUUUCAGGGAAGAAGAAAGUGACGGUACCUGAAGAGUAAGCCCCGGCUAACUACGUGCCAGCAGCCGCGGUAAAACGUAGGGGGCAAGCGUUGUCCGGAAUUACUGGGCGUAGAGGGCGCGUAGGUGGUUCAUUAAGUUAUAGGUGAAAGUCCGGGGCUCAACCCCGUGAUUGCCUGUGAUACUGGUGGACUUGAGUGCAGGAGAGGGUAGCAGAAUUCCCAGUGUAGCGGUGAAAUGCGUAGAUAUUGGGAGGAAUACCAGUGGCGAAGGCGGCUAUCUGGACUGUAACUGACACUGAGGCGCGAAAGCGUGGGGAGCAAACAGGAUUAGAUACCCUGGUAGUCCACGCCGUAAACGAUGAGUGCUAGGUGUUGCGGGUAUCGACCCCUGCAGUGCCGUAGUAACACAAUAAGCACUCUGCCUGGGGAGUACGGU
rnacentral:rRNA from 1 species